CACAUACGGAGAAAGAACCAAACAGGGAUUGCCCUAGUAACGGCGAGUGAAGCGGCAAGAGCUCAAAUUUGAAAUCUGGCUCCUUUGGAGUCCGAGUUGUAAUUUGUAGAGGGUGCUUUGGUGUCGGCCAUGGCCUAAGUUCCUUGGAACAGGACGUCACAGAGGGUGAGAACCCCGUACGUGGCUGCUGGCCUUCACCAUGUAAAGCCCCUUCGACGAGUCGAGUUGUUUGGGAAUGCAGCUCUAAAUGGGAGGUAAAUUUCUUCUAAAGCUAAAUAUUGGCCAGAGACCGAUAGCGCACAAGUAGAGUGAUCGAAAGAUGAAAAGCACUUUGGAAAGAGAGUCAAAAAGCACGUGAAAUUGUUGAAAGGGAAGCGCUUGCAGCCAGACUUGCUCGUAGUUGCUCAUCCGAGCUUUUGCUCGGUGCACUCUUCUGCGGGCAGGCCAGCAUCAGUCCGGGCGGUCGGAUAAAGGCUCUGGGAAUGUAGCUCUCUUCGGGGAGUGUUAUAGCCCUGGGUGUCAUGCGACCAGUCUGAACUGAGGUCCGCGCAUCUGCUAGGAUGCUGGCGUAAUGGCUGUAAGCGGCCCGUCUUGAAACACGGACCAAGGAGUCUAACAUCUAUGCGAGUGUUUGGGUGUCAAGCCCGGGCGCGCAAUGAAAGUGAACGGAGGUGGGAACCCUUCGGGGCGCACCAUCGACCGAUCCUGAUGUCUUCGGAUGGAUUUGAGUAAGAGCAUAGCUGUUGGGACCCGAAAGAUGGUGAACUAUGCCUGAAUAGGGUGAAGCCAGAGGAAACUCUGGUGGAGGCUCGCAGCGGUUCUGACGUGCAAAUCGAUCGUCAAAUUUGGGCAUAGGGGCGAAAGACUAAUCGAACAUCAAC
rnacentral:rRNA from 1 species